GAUGAAGAACGUAGCGAAAUGCGAUAAGUAGUGUGAAUUGCAGAAUUCAGUGAAUCAUCGAAUCUUUGAACGCACAUUGCGCCCCAUGGUAUUCCGUGGGGCAUGCCUGUUCGAGCGUCAUUUACCCCCUCAAGCUCCGCUUGGUGUUGGGCGUCCGUCCCGCUUCGCGCGCGGACUCGCCCCAAAGGUAUUGGCAGCGGUCGUGCCAGCUUCUCGCGCAGCACAUUGCGCUUCUCGAGGCACCGGUGGGCCCGCGUCCAUCAAGCUCACCCCCCCAGUUUGACCUCGGAUCAGGUAGGGAUACCCGCUGAACUUAAGCAUAUCAAUAAGCGGAGGA
rnacentral:misc_RNA from 1 species